rnacentral:rRNA from 1 species
UACGUAGGGUGCGAGCGUUGUCCGGAAUUAUUGGGCGUAAAGAGCUCGUAGGCGGUUUGUCGCGUCGACUGUGAAAACCCGGGGCUCAACUCCGGGCCUGCAUUCGAUACGGGCAGACUAGAGUUCGGUAGGGGAGACUGGAAUUCCUGGUGUAGCGGUGAAAUGCGCAGAUAUCAGGAGGAACACCGGUGGCGAAGGCGGGUCUCUGGGCCGAUACUGACGCUGAGGAGCGAAAGCGUGGGGAGCGAACAGG